GUGAGGAAUAUUGGUCAAUGGACGGAAGUCUGAACCAGCCAUGCCGCGUGCAGGAAUAAGGUCCUAUGGAUUGUAAACUGCUUUUAUUCGGGAAUAAACCUCUUUACGUGUAGGGAGCUGAAGGUACCGAAGGAAUAAGCACCGACUAACUCCGUGCCAGCAGCCGCGGUAAUACGGAGGGUGCAAGCGUUAUCCGGAAUCAUUGGGUUUAAAGGGUCCGCAGGCGGGCUAUCAAGUCAGAGGUGAAAUCCCACAGCUUAACUGUGGAACUGCCUUUGAAACUGAUGGUCUUGAAUUAAGUGGGCGUUGGCGGAAUAUGACAUGUAGCGGUGAAAUGCAUAGAUAUGUCAUGGAACACCGAAAGCGAAGGCAGCUAACGAUACUUAUAUUGACGCUCAUGGACGAAAGCGUGGGUAGCGAACAGGAUUAGAAACCCCGGUAGUCC
rnacentral:rRNA from 1 species